UGGGGAAUCUUGCACAAUGGGGGCAACCCUGAUGCAGCGACGCCGCGUGAGCGAUGAAGGUUUUCGAAUCGUAAAGCUCUGUCCUAUGGGAAGAUAAUGACGGUACCAUAGGAGGAAGCCCCGGCUAACUACGUGCCAGCAGCCGCGGUAAUACGUAGGGGGCGAGCGUUAUCCGGAUUCAUUGGGCGUAAAGCGCGCGCAGGCGGCUCUUCAAGCGGAACCUCUAACCCCGGGGCUCAACCUCGGGCCGGGUUCCGAACUGGAGGGCUCGAGUGCGGUAGAGGCAGGCGGAAUUCCCGGUGUAGCGGUGGAAUGCGCAGAUAUCGGGAAGAACACCGAUGGCGAAGGCAGCCUGCUGGGCCGGCACUGACGCUGAGGCGCGAAAGCUAGGGGAGCGAACAGG
rnacentral:rRNA from 1 species